rnacentral:rRNA from 1 species
UACGUAGGGGGCAAGCGUUGUCCGGAUUUAUUGGGCGUAAAGAGCGUGUAGGCGGCCAUGUAGGUCCGUUGUGAAAACUCGAGGCUCAACCUCGAGACGCCGAUGGAAACCAUGUGGCUAGAGUCCGGAAGAGGAGAGUGGAACUCCUGGUGUAGCGGUGAAAUGCGCAGAUAUCAGGAGGAACACCGAUGGCGAAGGCAGGUCUCUGGGCCAUAACUGACGCUGAGAAGCGAAAGCAUGGGGAGCGAACAGGA